rnacentral:tRNA from 1 species
GAGGGUAUAGCUCAAGUGGUAGAGCAUGUGCUUAGCAUACACAGGGUCCUGAGUUCAAUCCCUAGUACCUCCU